UUUUCUUUGCAGAAGACACACAGUGUCUAUUCUUUCAGUCUACCUUCAUUUUCAGGACAUAUUUAGUUACAUCUUUCUAUUUAGUGAUUGUGUGGCUUCGAUUUAUCAAUCACUGCUCCACAGGAUUUAUUCUUGUCUUUUUUCCUGUCUUUCUUGGAAGGAGCUGAAUUGAUAUAAUCAUUUGUCAUUAUCUAUUUGACAUACAGAAUAGAAACAACUUAUACUGUUUGUAAUUCUAACCCAUUAAAUAAGAUACUACUAAAAACUCACCUCUUAAUUUUUCUCCUUGUGAGGUAAUUCAUGGAAAUAUAAAUCAUGCAAACAAAUUCAAAAUAUAACAAAAUGAAUUUUUAUUUCAUAAAAUGUUAGUUUUUUCAAAGUACUCUAAACUACAGAGGGAUAAAUAUUUGUUUUUGGUUAUUUUAGUUAAGAAAAUAGUCUGCUAAAUGUCCUACUAUUUAUAUAAUUAACUAGAGGUAUGGGGAGAGUAACAUUUUGGGCCAUCUCUGUCAUCUUUCAUAGCCUUCACCCCAUGAAGAAGAUGGAGAUUAGUAAAUGGCAGAUUGGGGUUUGAAUGUACAUCUGAAUGAUUCCAAAACCUGUGCUCUCAGUGUUAGAUCAAGCAGUGAUGGUGAAUAUUAUUUUAUCAGAUUGAUACUUGUGAUUCUUAAAGCUAUUAUUUUUUUUUCUAGAAGGUCCCCCAAAUAAACCUAACUGAGCGCUGGGCUGCUCCUCGGCAAUCCAGGAAAAAUAGUAAGCUAUUUGAUAGCGACUGCCUACUCCUGUGCUAUUCACUGGUUUGAAGUUGUAGGUAUUUUUAUGUACAAUUGACUUUGUUUUUAUUGUCUUCAAAGCAAAAUAUGGCAUUGGGGAACCAGGAAACAGAACCGUGCUUGAUGACACUAUUUCUGAUCGUGAGAACAAAGAUGUGGUUGAAACCCUUUCUAAAACAUCACUCAAAAUCCAGAGCUUUUCUCAGUCUUCCUUUUCAUCAUCAGCACCUGACCCAAAGGAAGAAGCAACCCAGGCAGCAAUCAGAAAAGAAGAAAAUGGGACUUGUGUUUUUAAAAAUGCCUCACAGGAGCAAACAAAUGACAAAUUGAUGCAUGUUCACAAAGGGUACAAAGAUUAUAAAAGUGGUGUGUUGUCUGCCCCGGGAUUAGGAGAAGAUGCUGAAUCAUUACCUUGGGAUUCCGAGAGUAUCUUUGAGAAUCUUCCACAGAAGUCUGUUGAUCAUUUAUCUGGGGCUGCAGAUGAAAAAGGAAAACAUACCAGAAAUAUACAAGUAGAAGAAUCACCUGAGAAAUGUCUUCACCUGAAGAUUUUUCUGAUUGGAGUUCUACGAGUUUGAACCUCUCUGAUAAGACUUGUCAGAGAUCGGCAAAUUUGAAAGAUGAUGACAAAUAACCACUUACAACACGAUCAGUGACUAAAAAUCUGUCACCAUCCACAGAAUUCGGUAAGACAAACUUAAUAAGUAAGAAGAAGAUGAAUAUUGGAAUGUGUUUCUGUUAAGGAAUUGUACACCAUGUUGUGUGAAUCACAGCAAUCAAAAAAACAGCAUAAAGAAAGUAAUAAAGAAGCCCAGAGAAUUCAACCCGGAGGACCUCUGCAUGAUUUUAUAAUACCAUAGUUCUUACUUUGUAGAAAUCAUUUGGUGGUAGAAUUGGCUUUGUGUGUUAUUCUUCCUAAGCAACCAACAACCAAACAGUAUGUUUUCACAAAGCAGCUGUAUUCAUUCUCUAACCAAAGCAAGGUACAAAUAAUAAGGAAAAUUAGGAGACAGAGUAGUUUUGUUCAGACAAGUAUUUAGCAUAAACUUGAGAGUGGGUGCCAAGACUCUUAGAGCUUCAAGAGUUGAUGGAAAAACUAAGUAGAGAUCUACAGAUUGCUACUCAGACAAAACACUUCUUUAUUUUUACAUCUCUGAACUCACAAGUAUUUUUUAUAACUAUGUAUAAGUCAAAAGAACCUUCCAUAACCAUGUAUUUAAUUAUUUCUAACAAUUUUUGUGUUUGUAUAGAUUAAUUUUCACAAUAUUAAUGGAAAUCAUUGAGAAUUUCCUAUAUAGGAUCUCCUCAGUCAUGUCCUCAUGAGUCAGUAGUACGCAAGGAGUGUUGGUGUAGGAGUAUUGUAUCAUUUAAAAGUAAUAUAGGGCCGUGGAUUUAGCUCAGUGGUGCCGCACCUGCCUCUCAAGUCCAAGGUCCUGAGUUCAAUCCCCGGUACCAGAAGAAAUUAAAAAAAAUUAAAAAAUAAAAGUAAUAAUGAAAAUCUAGCCAGGCACAGUGUAUAUGCUUUUAGCUCCAGCUAUUUGAAAGGCUGAGGCAGAGAGAUCACUUGUGCCCAGGAGUUUAAUGCCAUCAUAGGCUCUUUUUUUUUUUUUCUUUGGUACCGGGAAUCGAACCCAGGUCCUUAGCUUUUGAGGCAGGUGGUGGAACUACUGAGCUAAAUCCCCGGCCCCCAUCAUAGGCUCUUAAUAAA
rnacentral:lncRNA from 1 species